CCAAUUAGGAGAGAACGGCCCGAGGCCUUGCGGAGAACCUCUCCCUCCCCGAAUCCAAGGCUCUCGUGGGUCCGCAGAGAAAACUGGCCCAGAAAAGACGCCAGGCCCCAAUUACACUCACCACCCCGCGACAGCAGCCGCCUCGAACCGGAAGCCGCGGCGCCACGUUUAUUAUGGGAAAAGCGAAGUUUGAAAGGAAGUCGCCGGAACCAUCUUUGCUGAAGGCAGGAAGCAACAAGAAAAAGCCCUGAAUCAAAGACCGAGAUGGAGUGGAUCUGAGGCUUGUCUCACACCCCCUUGCUUGGCUCCCUGCAGCCAGUGCUGCUCUUUCCUUCACCGCAGCCGCCAUCAGUAGAUUGACUGUGCUGCGAGUUGGGCAGGUGGCCCUGAGUUCACUAUGAAACUAAACAAGACUUUCGGUAAAAGUGUUUGGAGAAGAAUUCUUUCUACAAAUAUUUACAGAUUGAGAUUGGAUCAACGUGACAGGAUUUUAAAUGAAGCCCUGGACAUUGACUUCCGGAAGCAACAGACGAAGCUAUGGAGAAGAACAACAGUCUGAGAUCACUGCUGGAAAAUCAACUUUCCUUCUGCUUAGGACACAACUGCUCACAUGGGGUGUAACAAAUAUACCGCAUGACA